AGCAGCCGCGGUAAUUCCAGCUCCAAUAGCGUAUAUUAAAGUUGUUGCAGUUAAAAAGCUCGUAGUUGAACUUCGGGGUCUACCCCUUGGUCACGCUUAAUUGUCUGCACUGGUGAGAUGGAUCUCUACCUUCUGAGGAACUUUCAUGCCAUUUAUUUGGUGUGGUUGGAAAUCAGGACUGUUACUUUGAAAAAAUUAGAGUGUUUAAAGCAGACUAUCGUCUGAAUACAUUACCAUGGAAUAAUGAAAUAGGACGGACUGAUUCUAUUUCGUUGGUUUCUAGGAUCACCGUAAUGAUUAAUAGGGAUAGUUGGGGGCAUUAGUAUUCAAUUGUCAGAGGUGAAAUUCUUGGAUUUAUUGAAGACUAACUACUGCGAAAGCAUUUGCCAAGGAUGUUUUCAUUAAUCAAGAACGAAAGUUAGGGGAUCGAAGACGAUCAGAUACCGUCGUAGUCUUAACCAUAAACUAUGCCGACUAGGGAUCGGACGAAGUUAAUUUUAUAAUGACGUGUUCGGCACCUUACG
rnacentral:rRNA from 1 species